rnacentral:lncRNA from 1 species
CCCCUUGGGUUGAAGCCCCCUCCCCACAGCGCGGCACUGCGACGGGUUGCAGGCUGGGGGGGGGGGGAAAAAGGGGGGGUUACUUGUGGGGCGGAGCCCAGACCACCCCAUAGGGACCCCAGACCACCCCAUAGGGACCCCAUGGGGGGUGGGGGGGAUGGCACCAAUGGAUGGGGGGGGGCUCUGAUCCACAUCUAUGGGGCAGGACACCUCAUGUAGGGCCCUGACCCACAUCUAUAGGGCCUGACCCCCAUUUAUAGGGCCCUGAUCCCACUUAUAGGCCCUGACCCCCAUCUAUGGGGCCCUGACCCCCAUCUAUGGGGCACUGACCCCACUUAUAGGAUCCUGCCCCCCAUCUAUGGGGCAGGAAACCUCAUGUAGGGCCCUGACCCCCAUCUACGGGGCACUGACCCCCAUCUAUAGGGCCUGACCCCCAUCUAUGGGGCAGGACACCCUCAUGUAGGGCCCUGACCUGCAUCUAUGGGGCACUGACCCCCAUCUCUAGGGCCUGUCCCCCAUCUAUGGGGCAGGACACCUCAUGUAGGGCCCUGACCCCCAUCUAUAGGGCCUGACCCACUUAUAGGGCCUGACCCCCAUCUAUAGGGCCCUGACCCCCAUCUAUGGGGCCCUGACCCCCAUCUAUAGGGCCCUGACCUACAUCUAUGGGGCAGGAAACCUCAUGUAGGGCCCUGACCCACAUCUAUGGGGCACUGACCCCCCCCCAGCCCCAC